UGCAGUGUUAAAUGGGAGGGGUCACGGAAGACUGGAGCUCAUUGAUGACGCGACCCUCACGUGACCAGGAGUCGACGUGUGCAGAAGUCCUUAUAGUCCAGGGCCUGUUUCCCUGUAGCCGCUCGGUAUUGCUGGAGGAAGAGAAAAGUGCCCCGGAUUCUUUCAGGACUCUUUGGUCUCUUGGGCGCAACACAAAUCGAGUGAGGGAAGGAGGCAGGAAAAUCGCCCGGAUCCCUGCAGGUCAGUUUGAGUGCAAUUGCCUCAGGUCCCUUCGGGUAGGGAUGGGGGUGGGAGUGGGAGUGCGUGGAGGACACCAAAACAUAUCCUGGGGUCGCCACAGCCUCUCCCCAUCCGGAUUAAGCGCUGGAGGCCUUUGCAGAGCCUGCAGCGGAAAUGGGGCGGGAGCGGGGGAGGCUGGAGAGACGUAGAAGGGGG
rnacentral:lncRNA from 1 species